GACAGAGGUGCCGAGCGUUAGGCGGAAUCACUGGGCUUAAAGCGUGUGUAGGCGGCGGCGUAAGUACCUUGUGAAAUCCCACGGCUCAACCGUGGAACUGCUCGGUAUACUGCGUCGCUUGAGCCAGCUAGGGGCGACCGGAACAAACGGUGGAGCGGUGAAAUGCGUAGAGAUGUGGAGGAACACCGAUGGCGAAGGCAGCCCCCUGGGCCAAUACUGACGCUCAUGCACGAAAGCGUGGGGAGCAAACAGG
rnacentral:rRNA from 1 species